rnacentral:rRNA from 1 species
GACGAACGCUGGCGGCGUGCUUAACACAUGCAAGUCGAACGGUGAAGCGCUUUCUUUUUUGGUGGGUGUGGUUGCGUGGCGAACGGGUGAGUAACACGUGACUACCCUGCCCCCUUCUUCUGGAUAACCGCAUGAAAGUGUGGCUAAUACGGGAUCUUCUGGGUCUGUCGCAUGAUGGGUCUGGGAAGGAUGUUGGUUCGGUGGUGGCUGGGCUGGGGGCCUAUAAGCUUGUUGGGGGGGUGAUGGCCUAGCACGGCGGUGACGGGUAGACGGCCUGGGAGGGUAGACGGCCACAGGGGGUGAGCGGCACGGCUCAGACUCCGACAGGAGGCAGCAGUGUAGGAUAGGGCACAGUGGGGGAAAGUCUGAAGCGGCGACGCGGCGUGAGCGAUGGAGGCCUUCGGGGUGUGAACGUCUUUCGGCAGUGAAGCGGUCCUGCCUCGGUUGAGGGUGGGGUGACGGUAGCUGGUAAAGAAGCGCCGGCUAACUACGUG